UUUCACACCUGGAUGUGCUCACUCAACCAAGAAUAUAGAGAAAGAGCUUCUGCCCUGAGACUCAGAAAAAUAUUCUCCUGUGCUUUGGUUCAGUAUAGAUUUCUAAACCCUGAUCAUUGCUUAAGAGAUAUUCACUGAGGUUGCUGAGACAAAGGAAAACCCACUCCCUUGGAGGAGCAUGACCUUUUCCUGUAAUUCUUCCCACUGCUGUUGUUGAGCUCCUUGGAUCCUGGCUCCUGGACACCAUCAUCAAGAAGACUUUAUGGAUGGGCUGUCCACCCACUGAGAGAAGAGGAGCAUCAGCUACAGUUUCUCUCUAGAUUGCCUUCUUCAUUUUGAGUAAUGACUGUCAGCAGGGUCAGAUUAAACACAAAACAACUGGACAAUUGCUUGGAGGACUAAACUAUAAGGGCACUAACAUGUCAAUAGUAGGCUAACACAUCCAUGGAAAAUAUAUUUACCAGCUCUUCUCUCAGGGAGGAUUCUGUGUGGGGUUGGAAGUAAUGAUUUGUUAAAUUCCUUA
rnacentral:lncRNA from 1 species